GUGUUGUGUUUAGGGGUGUACCUCCAACUUUUAAUCAGGUGGUCCAGGGUUCGAGUCCCUGUCAGCCCACCA
rnacentral:tRNA from 1 species